GUGUGCCGAAUGUCAUUAUGACAGCGGGAGGACCAAUUUUUGGGGUGAAUUUGCAGUGCAAUAGGGUAUCUUCCAACCCGAACCCGUCAGCUAAUCUCGCAGGCGAAGGAGG
rnacentral:sRNA from 1 species